AUUGAACGCUGGCGGCAGGCCUAAGACAUGCAAGUCGAGCGAGAAAGCCCUUCGGGGUGAGUACAGCGGCGGACGGGUGAGUAGCGCGUAGGAAUCUACCUAGUAGUGGGGGACAACUCGUGGAAACGCGAGCUAAUACCGCAUACGCCCUACGGGGGAAAGCGGGGGAUCUUCGGACCUCGUGCUAUUAGAUGAGCCUGCGUAAGAUUAGCUAGUUGGUGGGGUAAUGGCCUACCAAGGCGACGAUCUUUAGCUGGUCUGAGAGGAUGAUCAGCCACACCGGGACUGAGACACGGCCCGGACUCCUACGGGAGGCAGCAGUCGGGAAUAUUGCGCAAUGGGCGAAAGCCUGACGCAGCCAUGCCGCGUGUGUGAAGAAGGCCCUAGGGUUGUAAAGCACUUUCAAUUGGGAGGAAAAGCUAAUGGUUAAUAGCCAUUAGCCCUGACGUUACCUUUAGAAGAAGCACCGGCUAACUCCGUGCCAGCAGCCGCGGUAAUACGGAGGGUGCAAGCGUUAAUCGGAAUUACUGGGCGUAAAGCGCGCGUAGGCGGUUUUUUAAGUCGGAUGUGAAAGCCCCGGGCUCAACCUGGGAAUUGCAUCCGAUACUGGAUAACUAGAAUGCGGGAGAGGGAGGUAGAAUUCCAUGUGUAGCAGUGAAAUGCGUAGAUAUAUGGAGGAAUACCAGUGGCGAAGGCGGCCUCCUGGCUCGACAUUGACGCUGAGGUGCGAAAGCGUGGGGAGCAAACGGGAUUAGAUACCCCGGUAGUCCACGCCGUAAACGAUGUCUACUAGCCUGUAGGGGUACUUGAGACCUUUGUAGCGCAGCUAACGCAAUAAGUAGACCGCCUGGGGGAGUACGGCCGCAAGGUUAAAACUCAAAUGAAUUGACGGGGGCCGCACAAGCAGUGGAAGCAUGUGGUUUAAUUCGAUGCAACGCGAAGAACCUUACCAGGCCUUGACAUCCCCGG
rnacentral:rRNA from 1 species